ensembl:snoRNA U3 Small nucleolar RNA U3
AAGACUAUACUUUCAGGGAUCUUUCUAUAGUUUUUCUAACUUGAGAAUGUGGUUUUCUAAAGUGUUUGGUCUCGCAAACCACGAUGAUGAGUCGUGAUAUUUCCUUCUGAGCAUGAAGCGACAGAGAGUAAAUAUUCACUUCAUAUGUUUCUGUCAUGAUGAUUGUUCUUUACUUCUUGGUGGAGUAUUGAGGAAGGGGAAUAUGAAGCAGAGGUGGU